AUAUUCCCUUGCUAUAAUCACUACUAAGUUCUUUUGAGAGCUUGUUCCUGCCUUGCUUUCUGGAGGAGUCUACGGUGGUUGUGGUGUCUGCUGCAGUGCUUGGAGUCCUCAGGAAGCGUUAGGAGCAUCCUUCAACCGAGGUACCCAGUCGGGGUGUCCAUCGAUCCGUUACAUUAUGUUAUUAUUUAUAUAGCGGCAACAAAUUCUGCAGUGCUUUAUUUAGCACGUGAGUUCCACAGGAACAGUGCAGCCCUUGAAAGUCUUGAAGGCGAGCAUCAGAGGUGGG